rnacentral:rRNA from 1 species
AGGGAGUUUGGGGUACCAUGGCUCAGAUUGAACGUUGGCGGCACGCCUAAUACAUGCAAGUCGAACGAGAAAUUGCACCUUCGGGUGCGAGUAAAGUGGCGGACGGGUGAGUAACGCGUAGGAAUAUACCUAGUAGUGGGGGACAACUCGAGGAAACUCGAGCUAAUACCGCAUACGCUCCUCUUCUUGGUUGAAGAGUGAGGAAAGUGGGGGAUCUUCGGACCUCACGCUAUCAGAGUAGCCUGCGUUGGAUUAGCUUGUUGGUGAGGUAGAGGCUCACCAAGGCGACGAUCCAUAGCUGGUCUGAGAGGACGAUCAGCCACACUGGGAACUGAGACACGGUCCAGACUCCUACGGGGAGGCAGCAGUAGGGAAUCUUGGGCAAUGGGCGAAAGCCUGACCCAGCGAUGCCGCGUGUGUGAAGAAGGCCUUUAGGGUUGUAAAGCACUUUCAGCAGCGAAGAAUUGUCCGGGAGUUAAUAGCUCCACGGGCUUUGACGUUAACUGCAGAAGAAGUACCGGCUUAACUCCGUGUCCAGCUAGC